UCCAUCUUUGGACACGUAAGAAUUGGAGGCAAAGAAAUGUGGAAUUGGAGGCAAAGAAAUGUGGACUUGGAGAAAUCUGGAGCCAGCUUGCUCCCUACAGGCUCAAGAUCAACCAUCCAACAUAG